rnacentral:misc_RNA from 1 species
CACCAAUCAAGCCUGGCUUGGUCUUGGGGCACGGGGGUGACCCGGCCCUCAACGUCUUCGGCAGGAGCGCCCCGAUCGCAGCGUUGUGACACAACUCUCGCUGGUGAGACGGGCGGUUCGCGCCGCGAAACCCAUCAAA